AACAGCAUGUGAGGUGGGGCGCUCUUCACCGCGCAGGCAUCCACGUUUCGCUCCAGUGACUCACGCGCAAAGUCAGGACUUCUAUUCAUUGCUUUUUGAUGCUGAAUUAACAGGAGUAGAGGGAAAACACUCAGUACAGUCAGAAGAGGAACCAAAAGACUGCAUGUGAAAAGUAAGUCUGCUGAUACAGAGCCAGUUAAACUAGGAAGGAAAACAGGUGCUGGAGAUUAAAUGAUUUUAGCAGCAAACAUGCUGUUCAAUGAGGGAACUGCCCACCUAACACCUCGUGCACCGUGAUCUACUGUCCGCCAAGCAGCAAGCUGGAAGACCAGCAGCAGAGGAGAAGAGAGGAGGAGGAGGAGGAGGAGGAGGGCGGCGUCGCGAAGCAGCAGCGGGCCGAGGAACCCCAGCCACAUCUCACCGCAGGAAACCAGCGGUUAGAGCUGCUCCUGGCAGCAGGGCAGGCGAUUUCCCUGCCGUGCCCGCGCCGCACACGGGCUGGCACCGCUGCGCUCGGCCACCACCAAAGCGCCGUUUUCCCGGACGGCGCACGGGGGCUCGUACUCGGGACAGCGAGCUCCGCGCAAGCCUGACAGCGCGCACCAGCCGCAGCCCUAACUCCCGCCUCCUCGACGCUGGGACGCCGGGCUACGCAGCUGUAACACCGUGGUCCCUUUAAAAAAUAAAAAUAGAAUCAGUUUAA